UUCGUGACCUUACCUUGAUCACUAGUACCCACUUCCAAUCUUCGUUUCUCCAGAUUACUCUCCACACUCUUUAAAGAAUAGUCAAAAACAAUUCCUUUAUCUUUAUCCACAUCAGUAAUCACGAAAGAGUUAAAUCAAGUCAUUAACCCUAAUUUCUUUUGAUAAAAAAAAACUCUAAUUUCUUUUGUUUUUUUCACCUUCUUCUCCGCCGUACCUUCAAUCCCUAUCAAUGGCGAUUUAGGCUGAGCAGAGAAUACUUGUUUCUUCAUUGGAAAUCAUCAACUUUUUCGUCUCUAAUCUCGUUUUCGUCUUUCCUCCUUUUUGUUUUCAGACACGAAUCAACGAAUUGGAGUUUUGUUUUUCCUCUACGGAUUUUGUCGGACAGUUUCUUCUUUCUCUUAAGUCUCGUCGGACGGUCAUGUGGGUGAUGAUAUGUUCCUCUGACAAGAGACUAUUAGGUCAUUUACAGUAUCUGUCUUGACAUUCUGAAAGAGCAGUAGAGAGCCCUGCACUUACAAUAUCCAAGUUUUUUUGUCUGUAUGUUCAAUGCUGACAGAUCCAAACCCUGAUGAUCCUCUGGUUACAGAAAUAGCUCACACCUACAAGACAGACCAGUGUCAAGUACGAGAGAACUGUCCGAUCGUGGACCCAGAACUAUGCAAUGGGACGAUGAUGAUUGUCAAUAAUAGUCGCACCAGUGCAUUGCGCAUUGUCUACGCUACAAGAAAAAUGCAUUUUAAUAACAGACCAGGAUAGCAUUUUUUCGCUUUUUGCUAUGAUUGACAUAUUCGUUAGUUUUAGAUAGCGUUUGUAUUUUUGGAAACGCUAUGAUAGAGUAGUAUAUUUUGAAACGCUAUAUUAGCAUAUGUUUAAUAGCAAAAAAAAUUUAAACGCUAUGUUUAGGUUUUUAAAUCCCUAAACCCUAAACAAGUUGUAAACACUAAACUCUAAAUAAAAACCUUAA